AGAGUUUGAUCCUGGCUCAGGACGAACGCUGGCGGCAUGCCUAACACAUGCAAGUCGAACGGAGAAAGUUCAACACCAAGUAUUUCAUCCGCUGAAGUGUAGCGGUAAAAAUUGCGAAGCAAUUUUUACUACGCAUUAAAAGCAUGAACUAACAUGGUGGUUGAAGUAUUAGGUGUUGAACUUUCUUAGUGGCGAACGGGUGAGUAACGCGUGGGCAACCUGCCCUCUAGAUGGGGACAACAUCCCGAAAGGGGUGCUAAUACCGAAUGUGACAGCAAUCUCGCAUGAGGAUGCUGUGAAAGAUGGCCUCUAUUUAUAAGCUAUCGCUAGAGGAUGGGCCUGCGUCUGAUUAGCUAGUUGGUGGGGUAACGGCCUACCAAGGCGAUGAUCAGUAGCCGGUCUGAGAGGAUGAACGGCCACAUUGGGACUGAGACACGGCCCAGACUCCUACGGGAGGCAGCAGUGGGGAAUCUUCCGCAAUGGGCGAAAGCCUGACGGAGCAAUGCCGCGUGAGUGAUGAAGGAAUUCGUUCCGUAAAGCUCUUUUGUUUAUGACGAAUGUGCAGAUUGUAAAUAAUGAUCUGUAAUGACGGUAGUAAACGAAUAAGCCACGGCUAACUACGUGCCAGCAGCCGCGGU
rnacentral:rRNA from 1 species